rnacentral:tRNA from 1 species
GAGGAUAUAGCUCAAGCGCCAGAGCACAUACUUAGCAUGUACAAGGUCCUGGGUUCAAUCCCCAGUACCUCCU